rnacentral:lncRNA from 1 species
GUUAUUCUCAACAACAAAGUUGCCAACUGACAGCAAUACUUCAGUGGCCGUUUCUGCCUCUGCACUUGAUUUCAGUACAAUCUCAUUUCCCAGAGGGAUAUUAUUCCCUAUGUUUGUGGUGUUUAUUUUGAAUUAUGUUAACAUAAAUUUGCACUAUGUGUUCAAGGCUGCUUUCAGCCAUUGACAGACAGGAUCGUACUGUUCCCUGAGGCAAGACAAGAGGCCUUCAGCUCCUGAAGUAAAUUUUAGAAUCUCUCGAUCGGGGGUGGGGAACCUCUGCUCUGGGGGCCCGAUCUUGGCCUGCCAGGCCUCCCCAUCUGGCCCAUGGGGACGUACCCGCUGUUUCAGCAUUGAUGAGGAGUGACAGUUUUCCCACUCUCCCACAGACUUGAAUGGGAAAGGGAAAUAAAGUGCAACCCUAAUCAUAUCUCCUUAGAACUGAGUCCCAUUGAAUUCAUUGGGGCUUACUCCCAGGUAAGUGGAUCUGGAAUCACAGGUCACACCAGUUCAUGCUGGAGCAAUGAAGGGACUUUCUAUGCCCAUACUUUGAGAGCGUCUGGAUGCCCUCAAGGCAUCCCAUUCCCCCUGCUCCACUGGCAGAAUAGCUGUGUAAGCUGAACAUUAUACUGGCAUGCCUGGGGCAUAAGCUGUGUCCCGCCAGCAAACUCGUUCUCCAUUGGCGGAGGCCCCUCAUCUGGCCAUAUGGUAAGCAUCCUUUAUAAUACUAAAUAAAUAAGCAAGUAAAUGGGGGGGGGGAUAGAAUUAGCCCAGGUAAGUAAUAAACUACUUGGGAAAUGCUAUGUGUCAAUGUAAACUUCUUUUUACGGAAUGGAGGACUGGGUGUUUUUUUUUCAGAUGUCAUUUCAGAAUUUCACGCAGUGCUCUCAUCACAUAUAAACCUUUGUACACCCAGUAUGCAUUCUAGGCUGCUCUGGCUUUUGGGGGGGAAACUUAAGAAGGAAGUCAGUUGUCAUACAAUUUAGAUAAAUGGGCUAUUCCGCAGGCAGUCUAUAUUCUUGAUGAGCAACCACCACUUUGAAAAGCUAAUAUUCUAUCAACAAAGAAGGUGACAGGUGGGCACUCUGGGGUUUCUUUCACACUGUAAUUAUCCCCUUUCAACUUCAGCCCCCCAUCUCAGUUAAAAUUAUCAGGAAAGUUUCAGGACAAUUUAUGAAAGCAUGUAGGGAAAUAUAUUUCUGCUGAUGUUAGGAAAGACUAGAGGAGGGAAAACUUGUUGAAAUUAAUUGGUCUUAACUAAGAAAACAUAUCUGUGUCUUGUUCUUAAACUCAGAUUCAAAAAAGCAUGACUGAGUCAGUUUAUGAUUUAAAAUUGUAUUAUUUUUCGAUUUUUGUGCUUGCUUUCAGAUGCUUAAAUAUUAUUUCAGGUUCACAUACUGCAAUAUUCUUUUUCAAAAACAAAAACCUGAAGCCACUAGAUUCCAGUGAAUGUCCUCUCUUUUCAGUUCUAAGAAGUGUAUGAAAUUGCUGGACCUGUUCAAAAUAAUGAGAUUUGGCAACUUUAAGCUAGUAGAAAGCCGGACAAAGGUACACAAAUUUGGGAAUGUAUCCAUCUCACAAAGUGCUGUUCAAAUGAGCAAAGCAAGAACACUUUAAAGCUCUGUCUCGUCAGAUGAUUACAAGGUCCUAAAAUAUGUACAAUGUGGUUUUGCUGUUUCUAAAAUAUGCUGAAAAGAGGUUCACAGACAAGCGCUUAUUUAAAAUGGUCUGCAUAGUUUUUCCUCCUCUCCUUCCUGCUCAAAAGUUUCCCUUUCUGUCUUACCUGGAAGACCCUGUUUUCACACUUUUAACGAAGUAAAAUAUAGACACUGCUCGUCUGUUCCUUUGGGAAAAUAGAUUUGUCCCAGGUUUUGUCUUUCCAACCCCAAAAAUCAGGGUUAGCCAGUGUGAUGCCCUCCAGAUGUUGGAUUACAGCUUCCAUCAUCUCUGACCAUUGGCCAUGCUGGUUGAGGCAGAUGUCCGUUGGAGUUCAAUAGCUAGAGGGCACCGUAUUGACUACUAUGGAACCACAAACAUUAAGUGCUGUCUGUGCCAGAGCUAUAUUGUUACCCAUAGUUAGAUUUCAGUUCUAUCCAGGACCAGCACUUUGUCAGGAUUUUAUUUGCAGCCAAUGAGCACCUGCUGCAAGAUGCACUUCCAAAAUACCUUUGUGUCAACCUGAAACAGAAUUGAGAGAGGCAGAAGAGGUAGGUCUGGGAGAGACCAGGAAGGUGGAGAGAAAGGAAGGCUGGUACCCAGAGCCAAGACUUCCUCAAAACACUUGUAUGCCUAAUUAAGAUUUCUGAUCUUUCAUCUUCUGCUAUGCACACAUUUGGUGUGACAAGCAUAUAAAACAUGUUUUCUGGACUGCGAAAAGCGUAUCAGUGAGAUCUCAUUACAGUGGUCUUCCUAGGUGUGAAAUUCUAGAUAGAGCAUCAAUGUUAAUACUCCAGACUUCAUUUAUAACGUAAAAUGAAAUGGAAAUUCACAAUGAACUCUUCCUUUAUAACCAGAUUUCAUCCUUCUUCCAAUGGAGAACCCAAAACUCUACAUAUCCAUUAGAACUACAAGAUACAUUUGUACCUCAAGAGAGUUGCCAGAGGCAAGACAUUGUGACCUUUUACACCUGCAGUGUAUCAAACAUCCCAUUGCCAAAGAAGCCAAUAAAACCG